rnacentral:rRNA from 1 species
GAUGAACGCUGGCGGCGUGCCUAAUACAUGCAAGUCGAGCGAACAGACGAGGAGCUUGCUCCUCUGACGUUAGCGGCGGACGGGUGAGUAACACGUGGAUAACCUACCUAUAAGACUGGGAUAACUUCGGGAAACCGGAGCUAAUACCGGAUAAUAUGUUGAAUCGCAUGGUUCAACAGUGAAAGACGGUCUUGCUGUCACUUAUAGAUGGAUCCGCGCCGCAUUAGCUAGUUGGUAAGGUAACGGCUUACCAAGGCAACGAUGCGUAGCCGACCUGAGAGGGUGAUCGGCCACACUGGAACUGAGACACGGUCCAGACUCCUACGGGAGGCAGCAGUAGGGAAUCUUCCGCAGUGGGCGAAAGCCUGACGGAGCAACGCCGCGUGAGUGAAGAAGGUCUUCGGAUCGUAAAACUCUGUUAUUAGGGAAGAACAAAUGUGUAAGUAACGAUGCACGUCUUGACGGUACCUAAUCAGAAAGCCACGGCUAACUACGU